UACGUAGGGACCAAGCGUUGUUCGGAUUUACUGGGCGUAAAGGGCGCGUAGGCGGCGCGGUAAGUCACUUGUGAAAUCUCUGAGCUUAACUCAGAACGGCCAAGUGAUACUGCAGUGCUAGAGUGUGGAAGGGGCAAUCGGAAUUCUUGGUGUAGCGGUGAAAUGCGUAGAUAUCAAGAGGAACACCUGAGGUGAAGACGGGUUGCUGGGCAACACUGACGCUGAUGCGCGAAAGCCAGGGAGCAAACGGG
rnacentral:rRNA from 1 species